UCCUGUAUCGAAAGUGAUGGUGACGUCCUCGUCGUCACGAUCAUUGAUAGUACAGGAACAUGAAGCUGCGAGCCUUUCCCGUGUUCACUGGACCAUCACUUCCUGUUGAACCCUGGCGCUCGCAGACA
ensembl:snoRNA SNORA71 Small nucleolar RNA SNORA71